GGUGCUGUAGCUCAGUGGUGGAGCACUUGCCUGGCAUGCCGGGUUCCAUCCCCAGCACCA
rnacentral:tRNA from 1 species